GUGACCAAAAUGAUUUGUUUUGAAAAUUCCCCCACAAGCCUAUGCUUACACUUACAGUUUCUCUGAAUGUUUCAGAGCAAUGGUUCAAAGAAUUGAGGUUUUCGUGGCAGAACAGGCUCAAUCUGGUACUCUUUACCAAUCUGGUAAUCCUUACUUGACAGCAAAAGCUGUCAAAUGCUUUGAAUCAGUUUCAGUGUAUCUAAACACCUUUUUUUGGCACAAACAGUCCUGGAGCAGCACUUCAGAGAGCAGUUCCUGGGCAGCAGUGCUUCUUUCAAUGCUCAAACUAUCAAAGCUGGGUUGUACAGCAUUAAAAAGAAACCAUUCACCCUGUACAGGGCCAUUGUCAUGCUCGUUUCACACAAGAAUGCCCACGUCACCGGAUCUCUGCAGCAUCUUAAAUGUGAUUUCAUGGUUUUCAGCCAGGGAAGAAGAAUCAUCUUCAGCAUACCCAACUUAAAUAUCAGAUGGUGUCAGGCUGGCCACCAGCUGAUUACAUGCACAUGCUAAUGAAGCACAUGGCAGCAGAGAAAAUAGCAUUUUGCUUGGGUACUUGCCUCAUGGCAGCAGUUUUCAAAAUGCUCAGUUGGAAUUAACUGAUCUUUGAUGACACUCACAAGGGCUAAUAUUACCAGAAGCUACAGAUAAGUUUUAUUUAGAGAUGAAAUGCAGCACUUUGAAAGAUUUUGUGUGCAACUGUUGCAGGAGUUCAGAACACAAAACCAUAAUUCUUUUUUUAAAGCUUUGGCCAUCAGCAGAAAUGUGGAAACAAAUCACCUCUGGAAAAAUGGCAUUUGUGUGUUGUGCUCUCAGGCUAAAAAUAGAGCUGUGCCUGGAUUAUCCUUUCGUCAUGAAGUAGCAAAUGUAGCACUCCCUUACCAGCCCUAAAAAAAAAUAAAUAAAUAAAUAAAAAAAUUACAUACAAGAUGAUGAUGCAAAGCCUUAUCUUGUUGGCAUAUCUCAUCAGGUCAGCAGUGAAGGUAGAGAAAGAGCAUUAUUUUUAGUCUUUAACCUAUCUUCCCUGACCAUGUACCAGAUUUGAGGAAAAUGUUAGCUACCUAUAAAUACUGCAAAUGUGCUUAUUGAGCCUAUAGCAAGAUGUAAAUGCCUAAUCAUCCUUAAGAGGGAAACUCUCUUAUACAUGCAGUCAUUCAAUAUUACUGAGUAGGAUGCCAUCUAAAGGGCACGUUAUUUUUCCAUGUGUACAUUUUAAACACUCUUGAGCUUGCGGAGAAUCAAAUUUUUCAGUCCUAUGGAAUGACAUUUUGUUUUUUAACUUUUUUUUUCUUUUUUUUUUUUUUUACUGUAGGAAAAAUAUCUGUCAUGGCUUAUCUAUCAGGCAAUGAAUGUGUUUGGGGUGGAAAGUUGAGGUCUGUUGCUUGUACUGAUGGCACAGUUACAGCCUGGAAUGUGCAAGAGGGUGAGCAGAGGCGGUCAGGCUCCUUGCAGGCAGUACCACAUCCGAAAGCCAUCACAGCCCCAGCACGGGCUCACGACGGCUGCUUGCAGAGCCUGGCAGGGGCAAUCUGGGCAACAGCUCGCUGCUUUUCCACAUCGCCGCUUUCACACUGCUCAACUACUCACUCAGUAAACAAGGAGCUUUUCCUAUCUACAGCUUCUGCAGGAGGAACCACUUGUGCACUGAAGAGUCCAGAUGUGAAUCAGGCUUCGUGUGACAGCAUUUCAGGAUGCCAGGAUCCAUUUACCACUGUCUCACCUAGCAGUCUGUGGGUAGCUGUUGGGACUACUGCGAUGACAGAUACCUCUCUAAGGACACCUUAUUAAAGGGAGCAGGACGUAUACGGCCAUGUAUGAAGAGAUGUUGCACCAGCUGUCUGUACCUGUUGAGGAGUCCAGUCUGCUGGUUACCAAAAGAGACAGCAAGAGCAGCCUUUUGGAAGAAGGAUGGCAUGGCACUUCAAAUCACCACCGUAUCGGAUUUGGAAAUCCAGCAGUGUAAAUAUAAAUAACAUGGAAAUGCUGUGUGUGUGUUCCUAACAUCUCUUUAUAUGCAUUUGACAGCAAGAGGUUUUUCUUUGCAUCUGUUCCCUCUGGUUGGAAGGACGCUGGACACAAAAGCACAAAGGGGAACUAAUGGUUAAGAACACAAAACCCUUUGGCAACCAGAGGAACUCCAGCACAGAACACCUCUUGAGCUAUGGUAAAACUAUUGUAUGUACCUAUGGUGGAGCUCUAUUAUCUUCUGCAUAGCAUAAAGCAUAGAAACGACAAACAGCAAUUCUUGUGACAUUAUUUUAAUCAGGUGUCUGCCACAAUCCUAGAUCUGAGUAAGGCAGCACAGUGGAGAGCAUUUUUAAUGCAUAAAGCUAAUAGGCUGUGAGCGUGGCACCAAGUGCUCAGAGUCCCAUUUAGAAACAUGAACGUUUGGCUAGUCCUGUUUUCUCUUACAGAAAAAUCUCAGCAGGUCUCAGGUUUCAUACUAUCAGGAAGAUUUGAAAGCACACCUUCCUGCAUGGAAGGGCACAGAACAGAAAUAAUUCUCCUGGGAUGUGGAUCAGCACUGAAGCAGUAUUCUAUUUUCAGAGCUCUACUGGAAUGUUUCCAAGACCACCAUGACACAACUACUUCAGUAUGGGUGGUAAACAUGUCUCUACUGCAAACUUUUCUGCACUGUUUGCUGUGCAUUCUUUAACCAUGGUUGCUGUAGUGGAAGGAUUCUCUCUGCUGCCACCUCAUCCUUGGACCCCUCUCCGAAUAUACACAUGGAAAAAAGCAAACAAUGUGCUUUGCUGAACAGAUGCCAUUUACUAGGUGGAGCCUGCGGAUAGUCAAGGGUAUCUCCCCAAAUCAUAUCCGUUGACACCUUACCAACUGUAUUUACACAAGAAACGAGGUGUUUAAGAGCAGUAGAGACCACCGUCCAGAAAGUCCAGACUUAGGAGCAGCAAUUAAAACUUAAGCUCAGA